rnacentral:rRNA from 1 species
GACAGAGGCCUCAAGCGUUAGGCGGAAUCACUGGGCUUAAAGCGUGUGUAGGCGGACGCCUAAGUGUCUUGUGAAAUCCCCCGGCUCACCCGGGGAACUGCUGGGCAUACUGGGCGUCUUGGGCCAACUAGGGGCAACUGGAACAAGCGGUGGAGCGGUGAAAUGCGUAGAUAUCGCUUGGAACGCCGAAGGUGAAAACAGGUUGACUGGGGGUUGUGCCGACGCUGAGACACGAAAGCCAGGGAGCAAACGGG